rnacentral:rRNA from 1 species
UACGAAGGGGACUAGCGUUGUUCGGAUUUACUGGGCGUAAAGCGCGCGUAGGCGGAUCGCUAAGUCAGGGGUGAAAUCCCAGGGCUCAACCCUGGAACUGCCUUUGAUACUGACGAUCUGGAGAUCGGGAGAGGUUGGUGGAAUUCCGAGUGUAGAGGUGAAAUUCGUAGAUAUUCGGAAGAACACCAGUGGCGAAGGCGGCUCACUGGACCGUUGUUGACGCUGAGGUGCGAAAAGCGUGGGGGAGCAAACAGG